rnacentral:rRNA from 1 species
AUUGAACGCUGGCGGCAGGCUUAACACAUGCAAGUCGAACGAGUGGCGGACGGGUGAGUAAUGCUUGGGAAUCUAGCUUAUGGAGGGGGAUAACUACGGGAAACUGUAGCUAAUACCGCGUACCAUAGGAUGAGCCCAAGUGGGAUUAGGUAGUUGGUGAGGUAAAGGCUCACCAAGCCGACGAUCUCUAGCUGGUCUGAGAGGAUGACCAGCCAGCAUGGGACUGAGACAAGGCGCAGACUCCUACGGGAGGCAGCAAGGGGGAAUAUUGCGCAAUGGGGGCAACGCUGGCGCAGCCAUGCCGCGGGUAUUAAGAAGGCCUUCGGGUUGUAAAGUAAUUUCAGUCGGGGGGAGUUACCGACAGAAGAAGCACCGGCUAACUCCGGGCCAGCAGGCGCGGUAAUUC